rnacentral:rRNA from 1 species
GAUGAACGCUGGCGGCGUGCUUAACACAUGCAAGUCGAACGGUGAAGGUGGGAGCUUGCUCCUGCUGGAUCAGUGGCGAACGGGUGAGUAACACGUGAGUAACCUGCCCCGGACUCUGGGAUAAGCGUUGGAAACGACGUCUAAUACCGGAUACGAGACGAGAAGGCAUCUUCAUCGUCUGGAAAGAUUUUUUGGUCUGGGAUGGACUCGCGGCCUAUCAGGUUGUUGGUGAGGUAAUGGCUCAACAAGCCUACGACGGGUAGCCGGCCUGAGAGGGUGACCGGCCACACUGGGACUGAGACACGGCCCAGACUCCUACGGGAGGCAGCAGUGGGGAAUAUUGCACAAUGGGCGAAAGCCUGAUGCAGCAACGCCGCGUGAGGGACGACGGCCUUCGGGUUGUGAACCUCUUUUAGUAGGGAAGAAGCGAAAGUGACGGUACCUGCAGAAAAAGCACCGGCUAACUACGUGCCAGCCGCCGCGGUAA